rnacentral:rRNA from 1 species
AUACGUAGGUGGCAAGCGUUGUCCGGAAUUAUUGGGCGUAAAGCGCGCGCAGGCGGUCCUUUAAGUCUGAUGUGAAAGCCCACGGCUCAACCGUGGAGGGUCAUUGGAAACUGGGGGACUUGAGUGCAGAAGAGGAAAGUGGAAUUCCAAGUGUAGCGGUUAAAUGCGUAGAGAUUUGGAGGAACACCAGUGGCGAAGGCGACUUUCUGGUUUGUAACUGACGCUGAGGCGCGAAAGCGUGGGGAGCAAACAGGAUUAGAUACCCUGGUAGUCCACGCCGUAAACGAUGAGUGCUAAGUGUUAGGGGGUUUCCGCCCCUUAGUGCUGCAGCUAACGCAUUAAGCACUCCGCCUGGGGAGUACGGUCGCAAGACUGAAACUCAAAGGAAUUGACGGGG